CGGGGCGCAGCCCCGCCCCCCUCCCGCCCCCGCCUGGCCCCUGCUGGCGCGCGGCUCGGCGCAGGCGAAUCCCCGGCGCUGCCCCGCCUCCUCUCCAAAGGAAACUCCGAGACCCCGCGAAGAGUGUGAUUCACCCAUGAUUCAACCGCGCCGGCGGGCUUCAAGUUGCCCCUCGGGCGCUGGAGGCUCCAGUCUCUGACCUGAGUCCGUUGGCCCCAUGUGGAAUGUGAUUUUUUUUUGUAUUGUGGAGUUGAAGGUAAGUAGGAGAAAAUGUUACAUUUCAAUCAGGUGUGUUAGAAGACCCGAGGGAUUGUUGCUUUGUCUACAGAUUCCAUUUAGAGCCACCAAUUCUCCUGAAAUUGUGAAGGGCUUUAAGUCAUGUUAAGACCAGCAGUUUGAUAAGAAAAAUAUGUUUAACAUUAGAUUGUGUUACAAAAGUUGCCUUAAAGGCUGAUAAAUUACAUGAAUAUAUGUUUUGCACAGUCGCUAAAAUGAUCAGGCAGAAAAGAGAGGAAUUUCUUGGGUGUUUGCAUAGAUUUUGGAGUAAAAGUAGAACAACAUUCUUCAAGAUUUUAAUAAUGCUAAAAAUUAUUACUAUUUUCAAGAAGAAGAGGAAGAAAACUGGCCAUGAUAAAUAACAUCUCACAGCAAAGUUUUUCCUGGUGGAUCAGGCUGUGGUCAGAUGCUCAGCACCAUUCAAAGUACAUUUCUAAAAUUUCACUGUUGAUAUUUGUUGCACAGGAACCCAUUGGUCAUUAAAAAAUUUUACUGACCUUACACAAUUUUUUAACCCCCUUCAAUAAAGUCAAGCUUACCAGUUACUAAUGUUCUCUCCUAUAUGAUACAUCUUGAAGACUCUGAGAAGUUUGAAAAGUUGCUAAACUAUAACGAUAAUCAGACUGUCCUGCCCAAUACCUUUAUGAUUAGAUACUAGAAUGUCAGAGGGCUGGGGGGACCUCACAGACAUUCUUUCUCGGGUGAGAGGGCUGUGGCCACCGGGCCUGAGUGAACCGUCUUGCCUAACCUCACCUGUCAGAUCUGAUCUUCUGACCCCAGGAGGUUUCUUUCCAUGGCCAUGCUUUCUUCCACUCCCAAUGCCUGGAAGUAAAAUUGACCUCCAAGCCCAGGCUUACUGGAUUAAUUUAUUCAUCUAUAGGCACUUAACAAUGCUCUGCAGUUGGUGCAGAACAAAAAUACAGUUUGGGCAACUCACUGUUCUCCAGCAGAAAUACCUUGAUGGUUAUGCUCUGAAAUGCGAGCAUGGAGACGUGUAGAAGAGGUGGUGCUGCCUGUGUGUGACCAGUGAUGACAGGUGGUUGAUGAGGGGCCUGAAGAUGACUGGGCGAUGUUGCAGCCCUCCCCCUGUGCUUUCUUAGCGCUCCCACCAAUUCGACUGACUGAUGUGAUUUUUAUUGCAUGCUUCACUUGAUUUUGACUAUUAGUUGUUUGUUUUCUCCAUUACCGCUCCUUGGGGGAAUACAGAUGAUAUUGUUCCUUUACAUCUCUCAACCCUCUGCACAAUUAACUCGAAUCAAUGAAUACUUUUUGGAACCAUGUGUGCAGCCAGAUAUUUUCAUUGGUAUUCAAGAGAUGAAAUUUUUCUGUCUCAGGGCUGGGCAGUGUGUGUUUCGAAAUGCUCAGAUUGAUAAGGAAAUAUAAACCCAUUGUGGGUUGCCAAGUAUCACUUGACAGCCAGCUCCAGCUGUCUGUCUAACCUGUGAUUAUUGAUCCAUGCUACAGCCAGAAAAUCUAAUCAGGAGGAGAGGUAGCUGAAAGAGGAAACAAAUAUGGAAGUGUGGGAACUGGUUAGCAUUUUUCUGAAAGACUGGAUUCUAGGGUGAAUCAGAAGACUUUUCAGCCAUGUGAUGAGGCUGUGGAGAGCUGUCCUUGCAUAGCAAGGCUUACAGAGCUUUCAGAAUGAAUUGUACAAAAUGUGUAUCUCCCAGGAAAAAGGUAGGUUAAGCUUAUGAUAGUAGGUGAAAUUGAGAGUAAUUCAUAUAAAACUAUUAUAUGUAUAUGAAAUGGUAAAAAGAGCUAUGAAACCAUUUUACCCAAAAUUCAGGUAAAAGGAAAAAUAUGAAAAAAGACCAGAGGGAAUUAAGAGUAGGAACAGAGAGUUCUGGGGCAAAAAAGUGACUCAGCAGAAUCUGAAACACAUCUGGCAGGGUAUGGUUAGUCAUGGGAAAUUUGGCAGUCAUGAUAAUGCAUUUUGUAAAAAUAAUUAUAUGCUAGUCCAACAGCUAACAUUCAGGCCAAGAUUAAAUAAUUGAAAGCCCAUGCAGUGAAAUCUAUUAUCCUCAUUGUUCAAAAUCCUGUUAACUGUCUAGAAUUGUUUAAAGAAAGCUUUGGCAAAUAGGCGAUCACAUAGCACCAGUAUUUUGAAAAGUACAAUUUUAGAGAAAAAGCUUCCAGUUCAAAUCUCAGACAGGGAUUGGUGUUUUCAGCAUGCAACCAUCUUUAUCAAUCUAAGGCUCAUCACACUACUUGUCAACUUUCAUUUUGAUUAACAAUGAGUCUGUAUUAUUCUUUACAUACAAUAGGGACAAACUAAAU